rnacentral:lncRNA from 1 species
GGUUAACCAUGUAUUUUAUUGUAGGUAAUCAUUACUCAUCAUAGUUUAUUAAAAUAGAAGAUACUGUGGAUGAAGUUCAAAGAAAAUUAAUUAAUAAAAGUUUAUCCAACAAAAAUACUACUUUAUUGCUAUAUUUCUAAAUGCACCAAGUUUAAAAUAGUGGGGAUGGGCCAAAAAAUGGGGCUAGAUAUAUCAUACUAGUCUCAUAAUUCAAAGAGAGCUCGAAAAUUUUUGCAGCAAUAAUAGUGAAACCUAGACUUCCUCAUCAAAAUCUUUUCUCAAUAUGCAAGAAAUGAUACGGGGGUCAUGGAUGCUCGUGAAAUCGGUUUUGGCAUUGCCAGUAUAAAACUUCUUAUAAGUUACUAGUACUGACACAAAUAUUGAUUUUGAUGAAUAUUAAAUAUUUUAAUAUUUUUUUAAUAUUGAAAAAUUGUCGAAGUUCUUGUAUAGAUAAUUUCAAGAAAAUAAAAUUAUUUUUGAAAAAUAUGUAUUAUUUAAUAAGUUUUACGAGCAAAAGAGGAUGAUUGGAUAAAGCCACAUCAUGAAAAAUUAUAAAAAAGAAACUAAAAGUCAACCCUUAGAUCUAAAAGAGUCAUCUUUUGCAUGUAUUUUUCAAAAGCAUUUUUAUAAAACAAUCUUCGAGCUGACACCUAUUAACUAUGAGUUGACUCAUAAUUACUCAAGUCGAUCUUUAUUUGGCCUCAAGUAGACUCGAUAGCAGCUGACAGCAAAAUGGUUAGUUCUACAAAAAUUUCAGAUUUUUUCAAAUAGUUUUCAAUAGCUAUUUUUUAUCCCCAAUGAUUAGAAAUGGCUAGUUUAGCCUUUUUGGAGGAAUUAAAGGCUUCCAAACUUAAUUAAGAGUGAAGAGAGAAAGAAAAAAAAAAGAAAAAAAAUCAAAUGAAAGCUCAAGAAUAUUUAUUGAGCAUUCAAGAGAGAUAAAAACAAUCAAUUUUUUAGAGAUUUUGAAGCAUUCAAAGAGUUCUUCUGAGAAUUGAUUGUAGUGCUUCUUCGACUAAUUCUCUAAAGAGCUUCAUCGACUUUUAUUUACUCUUUUAGUAAUUUUAUUGUGUUUACAAUUGUAUUUCUUAUUUUCUACUAUAAGCAAAUUUCAAUUAGGAUUAAAAAUUUAAAAAAGGCUUAUCCAAGCUUGGAAUUAGAUUGAGUUUGUUGAAGAAAGCCUAUAAGAGACUUUAAAAAGUAGUUUUAGUUAAUUUCUAUGAAAAAAUUCAAUCAGAUUUGGAUUGAGUCUGAAAAAUAAUCUUUUACUAUAAUCUAUAUAGAGAUUAUAGUGAAAUUCUCAAGAAAGUCUUAGAGAGUGGACGUAGGUGCUAAGAUUGACACCGAACCACUAUCAAUUUUUGUAUUUGUAUGUGGCUUCUUAUUUAUUUGCAUUGCUUUCUAUUUGCUUAUUUGUUUCAGCAUCCUUCAUUUAGUCUUUUGUCACCAUACUUCAUGUACUCUAAAAAUUAUGCACAGUAAGUUUUAAAUUUUUAAAAAAACCCAAUUCACCUCCCUUUUAUAUUGUCUCUCUGGACAACAAGUGGUAUUAAACCAUGGUACUCAAUUCAAUUUGAUCUAAUGAACAAGAGUCCAAGAUCAAAUGGCAGUCCAAAUUGAUACAUUUCUUAUCGAAGGGCAAUCCAUAGGUAGACCAUCUCUAUUUAAUAGCACAAAUUACAUUUUUGGAAAUCAUGCAUCCACAUAUUUAUUCAAGCAUUUGAUUUUAAUUUUUAGAGUGUUAUAAUCAAUGGCCCACACACACAAUUAUAAUAGAUGUGAUUGUCGCACCCAAAUCAAAGAAGGAUUAGGAUGACUUAGAUAAAAGAGUGGUUCAAUUGAAUGCUAAAACUAUAAAUGUUCU